rnacentral:rRNA from 1 species
GCCAGACUCCUACGGGAGGCAGCAGUGGGGAAUAUUGCACAAUGGGGGAAACCCUGAUGCAGCGACGCCGCGUGAGUGAAGAAGUAUUUCGGUAUGUAAAGCUCUAUCAGCAGGGAAGAAAAUGACGGUACCUGAUUAAGAAGCCCCGGCUAACUACGUGCCAGCAGCCGCGGUAAUACGUAGGGGGCAAGCGUUAUCCGGAUUUACUGGGUGUAAAGGGAGCGUAGACGGUGAUGCAAGUCAGAAGUGAAAGCCCGGGGCUCAACUCCGGGACUGCUUUUGAAACUGUGUAACUGGAGUGCAGGAGAGGUAAGCGGAAUUCCUGGUGUAGCGGUGAAAUGCGUAGAUAUCAGGAGGAACACCAGUGGCGAAGGCGGCUUACUGGACUGUAACUGACGUUGAGGCUCGAAAGCGUGGGGAGCAAACAGGAUUAGAUACCCCGGUAC